rnacentral:rRNA from 1 species
AGCGAACGCUGGCGGCAGGCCUAACACAUGCAAGUCGAACUGAUCCUUCGGGAUUAGUGGCGGACGGGUGAGUAACACGUGGGAACGUGCCCUUUGGUUCGGAACAACUCAGGGAAACUUGAGCUAAUACCGGAUGUGCCCUUCGGGGGAAAGAUUUAUCGCCAUUGGAGCGGCCCGCGUCUGAUUCGGUAGUUGUUGAGGUAAAGGCUCACCAAGGCGACGAUCAGUAGCUGGUCUGAGAGGAUGAUCAGGAACAGUGGGACUGAGACACGGCCCAAACUCCGACGGGAGGCAGCAGUGGGGAAUCUUGCGCAAUGGGCGAAAGCCUGACGCAGCCAUGCCGCGUGAAUGAUGAAGGUCUUAGGAUUGUAAAAUUCUUUCGCCAGGGGACGAUAAUGACGGUACCCGGAGAAGAAGCCCCGGCUAACUUCGUUCCAGCCGCCGCCGUAA